rnacentral:sRNA from 1 species
GUGUGGGAGGGUGACAUGUAGUCCCAGUGAAAUGCUGUCACCUCAGUGGUUAACAGGGUUUAUUCUGCUGCGCUGGCUGGCUGGCUGGCUGGUUGCCGCCUGCCUUCCUCACACCUCUGUAUGUGUCUAUCCCGAAGCUGAAUGCUUGGUAGAGGAAGACAGCGUUCCCUGACAGAGAAGACCGUUGCUUCAGAGAGAACACGAGGAGCUGUCCUGGCGUCCAAAUAAGAUCGCAAGAACCAGCGAGUGGAGGGCGCACUCCUG